rnacentral:lncRNA from 1 species
GGCAACAGGCUGGAGGGAGGGGGACGCGUCCCGGAGGAUCAGCGUUUUACGGCCUUUGAGCCAGGCCCCUGCCGACCCCACCACCCGUCACCUGCCCUGACUGUCCCCUGCCACCUCCCCUUGCUCCAGGUGGCCCGGCGCUGCUGGUCGGGGAACCCAAAGGCCUAUGAGAUCAUCUGCCAGACGGUGCGGGAGAACGAUGGCUUGGAGGUGACGCUGCCCCAUCCGGUGGCAGAUGAGGGCACCCUGCAGCAGGCCCUGCGGCCCUGAGAGGGCGACACCCCAGCACCCCUUCCUCGGCCUGUCCCCACCCUCCCAGCCCCAGCGCCGGGUCUCCCCCUGCAUAUGUCCCCUCUGGGCCACAGGCUUGUGUCACCCUCUAGUGUCCUGGACUGGGGGACCAUGACCACUUCAUCACACAGACGAACCCGCCCAGGCCCAGAGAGGUGAAGCCAUUUGGCCAUGACCACACAGCUUGGCUGGGAGCCCAGGGAGGACAGGGUUAUGGAAUGGACACCAGCGUGGGGCGUCCCCAACCGUGAACCCUGGCCAAACUGGUCACCAACCAGCUCCUUCGAACGCCCCUGGAGGUUUCUCUGGCUGAUUGUGUCAUCUGAUCUGCCACCACCCAUUUUUCUCCUUCUGUCUGUCUGUCCGGCCCUCAGUGCCCCAGGCUUGGGGACACACAGGUGGAGCCUCGGGAGAAGGACAGUAAAUAAAGGAAAAGACAGAGAACUGUGUGCACCUGACAUCGCAGGCUGGGGGGACCGAGCAGCAGAGUGACCCUCAAGGGAAAUGGACAGGUGUCUGGGGUGUAAAGGACAGGGAGGGUCCUCCCCGGGGUUCACCUGGCCUGAGCCUCCAACAGGGGCCCUCGAGAGCUCUGCCGGGGACCUAUGUGUCUCCCAGGCAGGGUGUGGGUCCCUGGGGUGAACUCCGCACCCCUUCCAUUUCCAGGUGUGUUUGCACCAGGGAUGGAACCCGGGGUGCUUAACCCCUGAGCCCCGUCCCCAGCCUAUUUUCUAUUCUAUUUAGAGACAGGGUCUUAUUGAGUUGCUUAGGGCCUCACUAAGUUGCCGAGGCUGGCCUCCAACUUGUGAUCCUCCUGCCUC